rnacentral:rRNA from 1 species
GAUGAACGCUGGCGGCGUGCCUAAUACAUGCAAGUCGAGCGAACGGACGAGAUGCUUGCUUCUCUGGUGUUAGCGGCGGACGGGUGAGUAACACGUGGAUAACCUCCCUAUAAGACUGGGAUAACUUCGGGAAACCGGAGCUAAUACCGGAUGAUAUUUUGAACCGCAGGGUUCAAAAGUGAAAGACGGUCUUGCUGUCGAUUAUAGAUGGAUCCGCGCUGCAUUAGCUAGUUGGUGAGGUAACGGCUUACCACGGCAACGGUGCAUAGCCGACCAGAGAGAUGGAGCGGCCACGGUGGGACUGAGACACGGUCCACACUGCUACGGGAGGAAGGAGUAGGGAAUCUUGCGCAAUAGGCGAAAGCCUGACGGAGCAACGGCGCGUAGGUGAUGAAGGUCAUGGGGUCUUAAAACUCUGUUAUUAGGGAAGAACAUAUGUGUAAGUAAGUGUACACACCUUGACGGUACCUAAUCAGAAAGCAACGGCUAACUACGUG